GACGAACGCUGGCGGCGUGCUUAACACAUGCAAGUCGAACGAUGAAACCUAGCUUGCUAGGUCGAUUAGUGGCGAACGGGUGAGUAACACGUGACUAACCUGCCCCUUUCUCUGGGAUAACGCUCCGAAAGGAGUGCUAAUACCGGAUACUCACACCUAGGCAAAUGCCUUGGUGUGGAAAGUUUUUCGGAAAGGGAUGGAGUCGCGGCCUAUCAGCUUGUUGGUGAGGUAACGGCUCACCAAGGCGACGACGGGUAGCCGGCCUGAGAGGGCGACCGGCCACACUGGGACUGAGACACGGCCCAGACUCCUACGGGAGGCAGCAGUGGGGAAUAUUGCACAAUGGGCGCAAGCCUGAUGCAGCGACGCCGCGUGAGGGAUGAAGGUCUUCGGAUUGUAAACCUCUUUCAGUAGGGACGAAGCGAAAGUGACGGUACCUAAAGAAGAAGCACCGGCUAACUACGUGCCAGCCGCCGCCGUAA
rnacentral:rRNA from 1 species